CAGGUACUCCCUCCGUCCGAAAAUACUUGUCAUCAAAAUUGAUAAAAAGAGAUGUAUCUAAAACUAAAAUACAUCUAGAUACAUCACCUUCUAUCCAGUUUGAAGACAAGUAUUUACGGACGGAGAGAGUACUGC
rfam:Triticum aestivum genome assembly, contig: Triticum_aestivum_CS42_TGACv1_scaffold_321579_4BL